rnacentral:rRNA from 15 species
GGGUGAAGGAACUCGGCAAAAUUGUACCGUAACUUCGGGAGAAGGUACGCCCUUGUUUGUGAUGGAACUUGCUUCCUAAGCAGAUGAGGGCCGCAGUGACCAGGUGGCUGGGACUGUUUAUUAAAAACACAGCACUGUGCUAAAUCGAAAGAUGACGUAUACGGUGUGACACCUGCCCGGUGCCGGAAGGUUAAGAGGAGAGGU